GACCAAGGAUUCUAACACGUGCGCGAGUCGCAGGGCCGUACGAAACCCGAAGGCGCAAUGAAAGUGAAGGCCGGCCUCGCUGCCGGCCCGGGUGGGAUCCCGUGGCGAGCGAUCGCGACGGGCGCACCACCGGCCCGUCUCGGCCGCAGCGUCGGCGAGGCGGAGCGAGAGCGUACUUGUUGGGACCCGAAAGAUGGUGAACUAUGCCUGAGUAGGACGAAGCCAGAGGAAACUCUGGUGGAGGUCCGCAGCGAUUCUGACGUGCAAAUCGAUCGUCAAACUUGGGUAUAGGGGCGAAAGACUAAUCGAACCAUC
rnacentral:rRNA from 1 species